UCAUGCUAUAUUUAAAUGUUCAUUCAUUAAAUUGUUUAAAAGGUAAAUGACCUGCUUGUCGUGUUGAAGGUUCAUUAAUUCAGACCCCAGCAGGAACUGAAGAGUCACAUCAGUCCAUCUACUGAAAGAGGGAUUUCUGCCUGUUUUGACUGUUUUAGUGGAUUUUAUCAGCCCAGCUGAAGACGGUCGAGCCAUCGGCAGAGCAGCAGCACCAACCGUCCUCCUUCCUCCAGGACUUCUGGGCCAGAACACAGUGACCCCGUCAGCCACUGAUGCCCAGGUUCAGUGAAAUGAUGAGUCUGGUCGUUACUGAAGCUGAGGACAGGGAUGUGAUUUCUGUUGACGUGUCUCUGACUCUGCUGACGCUGUAAUGAUACGAAGCUGGUUGAAGGUGUUUGUAUCAGAAUGUUGUUGUUUAUUUCUCUUCAUGUGAACCUUGUUUGUCUCGUGCUGUCCUGGAUGUUCAGGAUUUAAAGUCCAGCUGUUCUGGAUGUGUUGCUGACAGUCCAUCAGAGAGAAGCAGACCUCACAGCUGCUGGAAGCUGCUUCACUCCGCCUCAGCUUCCCCACUGGUCUGGCGCUGGACGCCCCCUGCUGGCACAAACGGGGAAUGGCAGAGACAGUCUAAGUACAGGAUGAAAACAAACUGCUUUAGUGACCUGCAGCGACCUUUAGUAACCUUUAGUGACCUGCAUUGACCUGCAAGAAUGAGGAAUCUUUGUCGUCACACCACACCACAUGACCACGCCCUUUAAACCCAAAUCAUGAAGCUCAGGAUGAAGAUGACCUGACAGCAUCAGCAUGUCUGUAAGGCGGAGCUUCAGCACCACGGACAGCGACUGUGUCCUGCUGACGUCCAUCAAGGGAGACGAAGCCGACCAGGAAGUGUCAACAACUGUCCAUAUCCCAUCAUGCACCAGGCGUUGCUCCAGACAGGCUGUGGCUCCAGAGUGUAACCCAGCAUGCAGAGAGAGCCUGGCAGGACCCGAUCCGGACCCGGAACACGAUCCGGACCCGGAACACGAUCCGGACCCGGAACACGAUCCGGACCCGGAACACGAUCCGGACCCGGAACACGAUCCGGACCACACCCUGCUGCACAUGCGCCCGCAUGAUCGCAACCCGAUUUACAGAGAGACGGCUCUGUCUGUCCCGCUGUCUAAAG